rnacentral:rRNA from 1 species
GACGAACGCUGGCGGCGUGCUUAACACAUGCAAGUCGAACGGAAAGGCCCUGCUUUUGUGGGGUGCUCGAGUGGCGAACGGGUGAGUAACACGUGAGUAACCUGCCCUUGACUUUGGGAUAACUUCAGGAAACUGGGGCUAAUACCGGAUAGGAGCUCCUGCUGCAUGGUGGGGGUUGGAAAGUUUCGGCGGUUGGGGAUGGACUCGCGGCUUAUCAGCUUGUUGGUGGGGUAGUGGCUUACCAAGGCUUUGACGGGUAGCCGGCCUGAGAGGGUGACCGGCCACAUUGGGACUGAGAUACGGCCCAGACUCCUAAGGGAGGCAGCAGUAGGGAAUAUUGCACAAUGGGCGGAAGCCUGAUGCAGCAACGCCGCGUGCGGGAUGACGGCCUUCGGGUUGUAAACCGCUUUCGCCUGUGACGAAGCGUGAGUGACGGUAAUGGGUAAAGAAGCACCGGCUAACUACGUG